rnacentral:snoRNA from 1 species
UCUUAAUGAUGAACACAAUCUUUGGUCCGUGUUUAUGAAACGGAGUUCAAGA